rnacentral:rRNA from 1 species
GACGAACGCUGGCGGCGUGCUUAACACAUGCAAGUCGAGCGGAAAGGCCCUUCGGGGUACUCGAGCGGCGAACGGGUGAGUAACACGUGAGUAACCCGCCCCAGACUUUGGGAUAACCCUCGGAAACGGGGGCUAAUACCGGAUACGACACAGCUUCGCAUGGGGUCUGUGUGGAAAGUUUUUCGGUUUGGGAUGGGCUCGCGGCCUAUCAGCUUGUUGGUGGGGUGAUGGCCUACCAAGGCGACGACGGGUAGCCGGCCUGAGAGGGCGACCGGCCACACUGGGACUGAGACACGGCCCAGACUCCUACGGGAGGCAGCAGUGGGGAAUAUUGCACAAUGGGCGGAAGCCUGAUGCAGCGACGCCGCGUGAGGGAUGACGGCCUUCGGGUUGUAAACCUCUUUCAGCAGGGACGAAGCGUAAGUGACGGUACCUGCAGAAGAAGCGCCGGCCAACUACGUG